AGUUAGGAACCAACUUAGCAUUUCUAUAGUUAAGAAGGGUUCUGGCCUAUGUGCUCUCUAUUAACACUCUCAUUGUUAUAUAAAUUAACUUAGUGCUUACAGGGCUUAUAAGAUAAAGCCAGCAUUUAUGGGACAAAGGUAUGUAAUGGAGAAAUCAUACUCUAUCAUCUGUAAUGGGAAGAUUAAGAAUAAUAGACACAAAAAUUUGUGUUAGCUGCAUUGGGGCUGGUAUCAUUUGGAAAGUUGAAUCAAAGCUGAAGGUUGCUAACUCAGGAGGAAGAAGAUGCCUCAGAGUAACAGAUUGUAAACUUGGGUGAAAUUGGAACUAGGAGGAAUAUAUAUAUCAGAUGGAAGAGGAGCCAAUUCCACUGAAGUAGUUUGGGAGAUUAGACAAAUAGAACAGUGGUUUUCAAUGGAGUGGGGGAAUGGAAAUUCUUCCCCCUUCCCAGGGAUCAUAUGGCAAUGUCUAGAGACAAGCUGGGGGAAGGGUACUACUGGUAUCUGGUGAGCACAGAUCAGGGAUGCUGCUAACCAUCUUAUUAAUGUACAGGGGAGGGAGGGCAGUUGAGGGGUCCCAGGUUGGAGAGUACAGGCUGGGGUGAGAGAACACUCCCCCCGCCACAGUGCACAAAUUUUAUGCACUGGGCCUCUAGGCUAUAAUAAUAAAAGUGUAAUAUGCUAAUUAGACCAGACGGCUGAACAGUGGAACGACAUCUGGAUGAAGCCAGGGCUCGCAGCUGACUGUGAGGGCCAAGCCCCUUGCAUGAAUUUCUUGCAUCGGGCCUCUAGUAAAUACAUAAAACAGUAACAUAGUCGUUUAUUAUCAUUAUCAUGAAUCAUGUACUGUGUGUAACUGUAUGUGCUAUACUCUUAUACAAGUGGUAGUGCAGUAGGCUUGUUUGCACCAGCAUCAGCACAGACACAUGAGUAAUGCAUUGCUUUACGCUGCAACUCAUGUUGGCUGUGACGUCACUAGGUGAUAGGACUUUUUCAGCUUCAUUAAAAUGUUAUAGGACCACCGUGGUAUAUGGUAUAUAAGGUCCAUCAUUAACCAAAACAUUGUUAGGUGGUGUAUGAUUGUGUAAGAAUGAGAAUGACAGUAUGAGAGGAGAAAUGAAAAGCCAUCAAACUAGAAGUAUCUUGGAGAAGUGCCCAAUAUUCUCUACAAGUAGCUGGUAAAGGCAGCUUGUUUUCCCACCUGGAUGAACUGGCCUGAAGGAUGCCUCUCACAGCCUUUUCAGAGGGGUAUCCUUUAUCUGCCUUUUCCAGUUUGGAAACCUUCCGGAGAAAACAUUCCUUUCUAGUAGAAAGAGAAUGAGAGUGAAAGCAUUCUUUGUCUGCAGAUUCCUGGGACGGCUUUGAAGAGACUGAGUAAAUGACUGGUGAAAUAAACCCCGCCUCCCUAUUUGUAACUGUGCCAGUGACAAUAUCCUGUGAAUGAUUAAAACAGAACAAAACAAAAAAACCCAAAACUGUUGGUCUCCAGACAACUUUUAACCUAAAAUGCUUUGAUAAAAAGCCUUGCAGGAUAAUCAGAGGAUAUGUUCUGUCCGACUCCAGAGUCAGAAAGCACAUUCUAACCUGGCUGAGAGUUGCACGCCCUGGGACAGGAAUGCAAUCCAUUCUUCUUUUUCUGAGGACGGCCUGUCAUCAUGGAAAGAUGAACAACCUUGUUGCUGAACCAAUCUGGUCUCAGAGGGCUGGCCAUUUAUACCCCCCCCCCCCCAGCCUGCAUUGCCUAUAACCUGUAACCAUUAUAUCUUGCCUACUUCCUCAUGCUUGUAAUUCCUACUUUUCCAUGCAAUCUUUGUCUCUUCUCCCCUCUACCCAAUAUAAGCAGCUGGCUUAUGGGAAGGGGACAGCAGGAUUUUAUGGACGAUCUACUGCUCUCCUGUACCGCCAGCUUCAUUUAAAUAAAUGCUCAUAUAUGAUUCAA